rnacentral:rRNA from 1 species
AGAAUCAACGCUGGCGGCGUGCCUAACACAUGCAAGUCGAACGAGAAAGUGGAGCAAUCCAUGAGUAAAGUGGCGACCGGGUGAGUAACACGUGACUAACCUACCUUCGAGUGGGGAUAACCUCGGGAAACCGGGCUAAUACCGCAUAAUAUCCACGGAUCAAAGGAGCAAUUCGCUUGAAGAGGGGGUCGCGGCUGAUUAGUUAGUUGGCGGGGUAAUGGCCCACCAAGACGAUGAUCGGUA